GAUGAAGAACGUAGCGAAAUGCGAUACUUGGUGUGAAUUGCAGAAUCCCGUGAACCAUCGAGUCUUUGAACGCAAGUUGCGCCCGAAGCCAUUAGGCCGAGGGCACGCCUGCCUGGGCGUCACACGUCGUUGCCCCCCCCAUCUACUCCUUCGGGAUUGCGGGGGGCGGAUGAUGGCCUCCCGUGCGCCUCGCCGCGCGGUUGGCAUAAAUGCCAAGUCCUCGGCGACGCACGCCACGACAAUCGGUGGUUGCGAAACCUCGGUUGCCCGUCGUGUGCGGUCGUCGCGCAUCGAGGGCUCGAAAAAAUUGCCGAGUUCCGGCUCGGCUUUCAACGCGACCCCAGGUCAGGCGGGGUUACCCGCUGAAUUUAAGCAUAUCAUAAGCGGAGGA
rnacentral:misc_RNA from 1 species